CGGCAUGGCUAAGACAUGCAAGUCGAACGGACCAUAUAAUUGGGUAACCGAAAGUAUGGUUAGUGGCGAAAGGGUGAGGAAUAGAUAGGAACGUACCCUGUGCUCUGGGAUAGCGUCUGAAGCUUCGGCUUCUUCCGAAAGGGGCGGUAAUACCAGAUAAUGUCCUUCGGGACCAAAGAUUUAUCGGCAUUGGAGCGGCCUAUCUCCUAUCAGCUUGUUGGUGAGGUAACGGCUCACCAAGGCAACGACGGGUAGCGGGACUGAGAGGUUGGCCCGCCACAUCGGGACUGAGACACUGCCCGGACCUCCACGGAGGGCUGCAGUAACGGAUAUUGGGCAAUGGGCGAAAGCCUGACCCAGCAAUGCCGCGUGCAGGAUGAAGCCCCUAGGGGUGUAAACUGCUGUCAGGGGUCAGAAAGCUGGUUUCGGCCAGUUGAUCAACCCCAGAGGAAGUCACGGCUAACUUCGUGCCAGCAGCCGCGGUAAUACGAAGGUGGCAAGCGUUAUUCGGAAUCAUUGGGCUUAAAGGGCACGCAGGCGGAACAGUGUGUAGUAGUGUGAAAUCCCCCGGCUUAACCGGGGAAUUGCACAGCAAACUGCUGUUCUUGAGGCAGGUAGGGGUGCAUGGAACUCUUGGUGGAGCGGUGGAAUGCGUAGAUAUCAAGAGGAACGCCAGAGGUGAAGACGGUG
rnacentral:rRNA from 1 species